CCGGGCUACCCCCGCCGCCGCCACCGGCUCUCCUGGGCCCGGCGGGCUGGGGCCGCGGCCACCCGGUGCAGCCCCGGCAGCCUGCGAGCCCGCCGACUCUAGCCGCACAGAAAGUCUCGGUGCUUUUUUUUCUUAUCGUUUAUACUAUAAACCAGAUGGCUGCAUCCUGACAUACAAAACCUUCCUAAGGAAACCACUGCUCCUGGGAAACUACGGGCCGGUCAGUCUCGCCUCCAUGCCUGACAAGAUCAUGGAGCAGAUCUUCCUGGAAACUAUGCUAAGGCACGUGGAAAAUAAGGAGGUGACUGGUGACAGCCAGCAUGGCUUCACUAAGGGCAAAUCAUGCCUGUCAAAUUUGGUGGCCUUCUACAAUGGAGUUACAGCCUUGAUGGAUGAGGGAAGAGCAACUGUUGUCAUCUACCUGGACAUGUGCAAAGCUUUUGUCACUGUUCCGCAUGACAUCCUUGUCUCUAAAGUGGAAACAUGGAUUUGAUGGGUGGACCACUUGGUGGAUAAGGAACUGACUGGGUGGUUGCACUGAAAGAGUUGUGGUCAAUGGCUCAAUGUCCACAUGGAGAUCGGUGACAAGUGGCGUUCCUCAGGGGUCAGUACAGGGACCAGUGCUGUUCGACAUCUUUGUUGGUGACAUGGACAGUGGGAUGGAGCACACCCUCAGCCAAUUUGCUGAUGACACCAAGCUGAGUGGUGCAGUUGACACACUGGAGGGAAGGGAUGCCAUCCAAAGGGACCUUGACAGGCUUGAGAGGUGGGCCUGUGCAACCCCCAUGAAGUCCAACAAGGCCAAGCGCAAAGUCCUGCACCUGGGUUAGGGCAAACCCCAGCAUCAAUACCGGCUGGGCAGAGAAGGGAUUGAGAGCAGCCCUGCAGAGAAGGACUUAGGGGUGCCAGUGGAUGAAAAGCUCAGCAUGGCCUGACAGCCUGACAGUGUGCGCUUGCAGCCCAGAAAGUCAGCUGAAUCCUGGGCUGCAUCAAAAGCAGCGUGACCAGCAGGCUGAGGGAGGUGAUUCUGCUCCUCUGCUGGGCUGUUGUGAGACCCCACCUGGAGUACUGCAUUCCAGCUCUGGGGCAACCAACAUAAGAAGGACAUGGACCUGUUGGAGCAAGUCCAGAGGAGGGCCACAAAGCUCAUCAGAGGCUGGAGCACCUCCCCUAUGAAGACAGGCUGAGAGAGUUGGGGUGGUUUAGCCUGGAGAAGAGGAGGCUCCAGGGAGACCUUACAGCUGCCUUUCGAUACUUAAAGGGGGCUUAAAAGAAAGGAACUUCUUGGUUUCCUUUGAGCUCUCUUCGGAGGAUGAAAGAUGAACAUUUGAAGAUGUUGUGUGCCGAAAGAGAAGUGUGAAGUUUUUCUGUCCCAGAGGAAGAUGAUGACGCUGGAAAGAACACAAUGAGGAGCCUGAGCGUAUGGGAGGUCCUGAAUGGUGGCUUCUCAUCCCUAAUGAAAGAGAAAAGAGAGUCAAGCAGAAGAGUUUUGCAGCCACAGAUCACUGUCAGUGCAUGCUUUGCCAUCUGAAAGGGUAAGGCCACAGCUGAUAAUUUUUUCUACUAAGCAAUGCGAUGGGGUUGCAGGAUCCUUUAGACUGCAGAUUUCAUGACCUCCGAACCUCUGGAAAGCAGAGCUUUUGCAAGGAGCAUUGGUAUGCAGAUAGAUGGUGUAGCCAGAGCUCCCACUGCUCUUGGUCUACCGAGAAACUCUGUAGAAUCAAAAGCCUACAAACAGCAAAACAAAGCUGAUGUUUUCUGGCUUCUGAGGAUGAUAAGAAAUGCAUGGGAGGCUCCUUUAACAUCCCUAGAAUUCCAUCAUUUUUUGUUUCAUAGCUUCUUUAUUGUGGCCUUCCUGAGAAAAUUCUUGUAUAUUGUUUCAGAGAACUGGUCACAGGGGUAAUGCAAAUAACUGCUUCUCAAAAGAGAGAGAUCAGUGUCACACAGAGGAAAAGCUGUUUUAAAACUUUCUCAGUGGUGUGGUAAAGUUACUGUAAGAGGGUAAACUCAAUGACAACAUUUCUUUCUAUUGAACUCAUUAUGAACCUGGCACUUUUUUUCGUGUAAAAGACAGACAAAUGGAUAAAGUUGGAAGUGGCUUCUAGCCCUCCUACUCUCUGUACAAUUUGUUCACCCUCUUCUGAGCCUCAUCUCCUUCUCAAGCAUCGAGAAAACUUCUCUGGAAGUAGUACUAUCAGAACAAAGUCUGGCACAGGAAGAAAUAGACCUAAUUUUUUGAGCUGCCACAAGGAAGAAAGCAAGUCAGAUCAUAUCAGAAAAGGAGGAACAUUAGAUGAUAUCUGCUUGAAAAGCUUUGCUUGCCAUUGACGUGGGAGACUUCUUUGCCAGGGGACAAAGUCACUCUGCCUGUUCUGCAACUUAUUCCUUUGAGUUAGCCCCUUAAGCGCUAGUAAUCUUGACAUAGCCUGGAGUAACAAGAAGAGUGUAGGGAUUAAAUGUCACAAAGUACACAACGGGACCAUGACAUUUCAUAACUCCAAAAGUCCCAGGUUUUUUUGAAUAACAAGCUUUUUGUUUUGAAAUACAUUUUCUGUGGCCACUUGCUAGAAGUGAUACUUUCUUUCAAAGAUUUUGAAAUAGAUGAUUUUUUUUUAAUUUGAAAAAAAUGUUCAAACAUUUUUAAUUGGUUCAAUAAGGGCCUUUUCCUGAAUAGCUCCUCCUGUCAUCUGUAGGAAGCUGUAGUCCCACAGUACAGUGUCUUUUGAUACUCCUGAAGUUUGCUAUUAAUUCCCUAUUGAUAUGUAUGUUUAUUGUAACCUCAAACAACCACCCUACCCCGCGCUUAGGUUCUCUUUCACCAGAAUGUCUUUUCCCCCAAAUCACCUUUUGCCUGGGAUGUUCUUUGUGCAGAUGCGGCAGGCUGCCUUUCAGUGUUAAUACAGCAUCACACCAGAGUGCAGACAAUUUCAGGUAGCCCUGACUUUGACCUGGGCUGAAAAAGCCAUGGGAUGCCAUUUUCUUGGUUAGCAUCAGACAAUAUUUAUUUUUUUCCUGGUAAAGCACUGGCAAAGUCCUUUGGAGCAGUUUCUGCAGGUAUUUAUUCUACCUCUGCUCUUUCCUGUUUUAUUUUUCUCAUUUGUCUUUGGUUUCGUACUUCUAACCUGCCAUUCUCAAGCAAGAGUUUAUCAGGAAGAAAAAGGUCGCAUGAAAAGCAUCCUUAAGUUAAACUGCUGCAAGGCAAGGCUACUCUGCAGUCUUGUAAAAGAUAUAUGAGUGACAGUUUUGCAUCAGCUUCAUUUUUUUCCCUUCAGUAACCUGGAAUGGUUUUACUAAACCAGAAGUUAUUUACAUGAAAUAGAAAAUAGUCCUUUUUAGCUGAGAAUGCUCUGAAAAAUCAGGAGUGGUCCCUGGCACCUCCAAAUUGCAGGACAGAUCGCUGUGACGGCUGCUCAGCCUUCUUGUCUUGACUGCAAGCUGAAUUAGAAAUGAAAGCCCAGAAUGUUGGGGCUUUUUUUGUGCUAAAAUUGGGCACAUUUGAAGAGGUGGCUAUUUACAAACUUACUGUAUAUUAGGUGACAUGUAACUGAUGGCUGCAGGGGACCUUCAGCUCAUGAUGUCGCUUGCUCUGGAACUUGGUAGCAAUGUUGUGUGGGUGACGUUACACCUCAAACGUAAAUGCCCCGGGGCCAGGGGCUGCCGGUUUGGGGGGGGGGUUGGGGGCCUGCCUGCGUCAUGCUGCAGGGCCUGCUCCGUGCCCAGCGCUGCCACAAAGCAGAUAGUUAAGAAGCCACAGUGACAGACAUCCUGAACCACAGCUCCCGUCAUCCCCAGUAUCACCUUCAGUGACACAGCCGGCCUCUUCCUGAUGCAGAAGAGGAGCAUAAUUUUUUCCUAUUUAAUUUAUUUAUUCCUAUUAUAGCACAUACAUUUCUAUAUGCUAUAGACAGUAUUUGUGCUGUACUGUAGGUGGUUAGCUGUGCUGUACGUCAGCUAUACUGACAGCGACAGGAGCAAGGGGGAGCUGGAGCUGGCAAGCGGCAGCAUUCCUACCCUGUCGCUUUUACGUCAUUUCUCUCUGCUGACUUGUAACUUUCCAGUCUUCUGCAUUUUAUACGUUACAGUUAGUUUACAGUACUGAUAAAUCUAAUUUUUGACGAUUCAUACCGUGUAGGUGCCAUUUUUCCUAACCAAAUAGCAGUGCCCACAAAAUUUAGCUUUUAAGCUUAGGGUUAUUACCAUUGAGCUGCAACAGAAGGUUGGGGUUAUGCUUGUUGGCAGUUUUUUCUUGUGUAAUGUUUUGGGGUUUUUUUAAUGGUGGUUUUGUAAGGGACUGAGCAGAUGAAAAGAGUUAGGUCUGGUUUAGAUUGUUAGCAUGACAUUUCAGAAUUUCCACUCGACAUGCAAUAGGACAUUAUAGAUUGUUUUGAGCAGAGGGUCAGAGAUUUUAUUUAAGACUGCAUUUGAACUUAGAAAGUGGAACUGUUUAAAUGUGGAAUGUGACUUUAAAAUUUUUUAAAAAUCUAUUUCUACAUGUACACUUCUUAAAGAUUACAGGAGAAAAGACUUUCUUAUAUAGGCAUCUCUUGUACCAAGGGAUUUUUGCCACUUCGAAAAGUAUUUAAGAAGAGUUCAAGAAAAUUGUGAAGAGGCCAACAAAAUCCAUCUUGUUGAUAUUCCCCAUAUUGCAAAACUAUUUUAGCUACGGGUAUUAUAAUAGCAGUGCUGGUAACUGUUUUGCUGGGAAUGCUGAUUGAAAAGGGUAACACGACUGGGGUAAACAGACAUGUCUGAACAAAUAAAGAGAUUAGAAGGAAACUGAAAUCUUGCCUAUUGGUAGCUAACUCCUCAUCCAUAAUUUCACAUCUGCUCACUGUUUUUCCACCUAGUAAAUCCAGAAAUGAAACUACAGAGCAAUGGCAGCACUCUGGAUCCCCGUGACCUAACAGAUAAGCUCUGACAUUAGAGGUAUAGCCGAAGAAAUUACUGCCUCCACAGCUAUGAACAUACUGCCAGUAUUUCUCAGUGUGUCUCUUUUUGCACACUUUUGGGAUGACCGUAAGUCAUUCUGGAUCUCAAGUGUGUCCUCACUUUUCUGCCUCUUCUGCUGUUCAAGAUACAGUGAGUCUGGCGUUUUUCCAGAAAAAAACUCCUGGAUAUUGUGAGGCAAAGUCUGCCUAUGAAUUUUGGCAGGACUGGUACAUGGAAGCACAGCCCUGGUAGCAAGUAUUCUUAGUUUCAAACCUCUCAUGAGGACAACACCAUCUGUAUGAAGAAAAGCAGACCUGGGCCCUUUAGUUAAGCAGGUGGAGAGAGGAGGUGACCCAGGGGAUCUUACACAGUUGACUGCAACAGUAUGCAAAGAUCUCAAGAAAAUUUUGAAUGAAAGGACAAGCAGAGGUUGGGAAGGGAACAGGAUAAAGUGAAACCUGACUUUAGUGUUGGAUGGUGUCAGCUCAAUAGAGUCUUUGAAAAUCUAUUUCCUACACAAAGGAAACAUGUUUCCUUCCUGGGAAUUUCAGUUAAGCCUUUUCAUGCAGUCUUGUGGGAUGCAGUGAUGAGGGAGCUGCGAGAAAACAGGGAUUAGGUGUGCACAGGGCUGGCUAAAAGGCAGAGCGCACUGCGAAGUGUUAAUAAGUAAGCGGUGAGGAAGGAAUUCAUAAGCUGGGUGUGGUGGUGGCACAAAUAUGCUGUAUGGAAACAAUUGUGGAAGGGGAGGACCCUGGUGUAUAAGGUGGAUGUGCUGCUAAUGUGAUCUUAAAGUGGUCUGGUGAGGUACAUUCAGCAGGAAAGAGGGAAGCUUACUGCCCUGAUUCAAAGACGUUUGUAAGAUUUCGUUUAAAUUUUGCUUAUUCUUCUAAUUGCCUACGUUACAAAGAUGGACUGAGACUGAGGGUGCCCAGGGUGGUCAGAGGGAUGGAGAGCUUUGUGCCGGUAAGGAGCUGGGGGACCCUGUGCUGGAAAGGAGCUGGGAAGUGGACACUGUUUAGUCGAGCAAAGAAGCCUCAGAGGGGACCAAGACUGCUUCCUAUUAGCAGUGUAAAUACCAGAGAGGGUACCAAUGAACACACGGGACUAACCUAGCUGUGAAUAGAAAUGUGUGUUUCAAAUGAGAAAGUGCUUUCCAACCAUGGCACAAAUUUUCUAACUAGAAAAAAAGUUUCACAGUAGGAUUGGUCAAGCGCUGGCACAGGUGCCCAGAGGCUGUUGAAUCUCCAUCCCUGGAGGUGCACAAAGCUUGACUGGACGAGACACUGAGCAACUUGAUCCCACUUUGAACGGGAUGUUUAAGUAAGGGGGUGGCCUAGAUGAUGUCCAGGGGUGCCUUCCACCUGCAUGAUCCUGUGCUCCAUUAGAAUGAAAAAGCUGCCAGGCACCUUUCACAACACAUCAGUGAGAAGCAGAAGGAGAGAAAGGAAAAGUCCUCAAAACCCAAAAUGCUGUCAAGGCAGGCAGGCAGGAAAGAAACCUGAGGACCAGGGUGCUCUUUGCAGGCUGUGGGCCUUACAUGGAAGAAGUUCAGGGACAAGACAGAACAUAUCUUGCCAUCUCUUUCAGCAUUUGGGUCUCACAGCUUAUCAAUAAUGCCUUCUCAGAAUUUUUUGAUACAGAGGUACUUCAUAAAUUAUUUGUUUGUUGUCUUUAUCACUCAUUUCCUCAACAUAUUUUUCACAAGAUUCAGGGUAUUUUUCAGGAGAGCUGAGAAUGGCCAAGUAAUGAAAAAAAGAGGUGCUGAGAGUUGGAAAAAAUCUUAGUUUUCUAUGAAACUAGUACAGCUGAGGCAGUAUGAGGAUGUAAAAAAGGAGUGGGGGGGAAAGGAGAGGAUCAAAAGAGAAUUAAAGGGAAGAAGGAGAAAGAGCAGACCAGAAGAAGUCCAGAUUUGCUAAAGAGAUGCGCAAAACUGAAUUUCUUUGGCAGGUUCAAUGGCACAGCCUCUCACAAAUAAUUUAGAAAGUGAAAUGAGGUUGGGAAGCAAAUUUGACCUGACUUUUAUUUUUGAAUCAUGGAAUUACAGAUCUUGCAAAAGACAGGGCACUAGCCUGGGCAGUCAGCAACAAUUUGACUCGGCCCUCCCUAACUCUUCCUCUUUCCCAGUGAGCCUCCUGGCAGGACUAUCUGUAGGGGAAAAAGGCAGUUUAUUCAUCAGGCCCAUUCAUCCCUCAGAACAGCAGGAACUCAAUUUUCUGUCAGUGUCAUUCCACUGAAAUAAAUGCAGGCAAUUUGGCUCCUAGGCUAGUAGACCUACUAUUAACACAGAAACACAUGCACAAGGACUGGGCUGAUACAUAGCUUAACAGAAACAUUAUAAUUGGAUGCCCAGGAAAACAUAUUUUUAAAAACAAUUUAUUUUUUUUUUUACAUUGAAGUAACAGGCAAAAAAUAAGCAUAGAAGUGAAAAACCGGGUAAUGUAAAACAUAUUUUCAUGUGAAAGGCUAUCUUAGUCACUGCUUUUGUUUGUAUCUGAAAAGGAAAAUUUCAUAUGCUUUUGGUAAUCUGUAGAUUGAGCUACAACUGUUCCUUCUGAUGCUAAAGAGGUACACAAUAAGUUGUGUGAUUUCCAGUGACUAAGCCUCAGCAUGCCCUAAGGUAUGUAUCCAAAAUAUAAGUAUAAACCUUCAUUGAGUCAUGGUCCAGUUCUCCUGGUAUGGCCAAUGGGAUGCACCCUAAAAAGCUGCAAGUCUUAAUGUCUGUACACCUGCAAGGUGCAAGACAGUGUAUAAAACACGAGAGAUGUAUACAAUUCGGGAUCCUCUCCCUGUAGCUUUUCUCUGGUUUUGCACGUGAAUGCACUGCUUCAGCCUUUCACGGAGAGCCAGGGAAGGGCUUUCUGUCUCCUGGUACCCUGCAGUCUGCUGCCUCUCAGGUCUCCAUUGCGUGGGUGACCCAGGUCACUUGCAGCACACACACAAAUGUCACUGCUCUCAGCCUGCGUUGCGAUCUCUGCACACUGUGUGUGCGGGGGCCAUGUACAGGGGGGCUGCUUGCUGAGGUGGCAGAUGCCCUGGUCUCCUAGAACGGUCACGGGCAGGGUGACAGGUCUGGGCAUUGAAACAAAAACCUCCCCGGGGAAAAUCUUUGAACUGUUUGGAAAUGCCCUGGGUGUUCAUAGCCCAGAGGCAGGCAGCUGCGCAUGAGCUGGCAUGUCUCUAGUGGCUCGAAGACCCAGAAGGCAUCAGGCACUUUCAGUUGGAUUGCCUGACACCCGAGAACAUGGCCAUGGAGAAGUAUGCUAGCUUGGCACUUGGACACUGCAAGAGAGGCCAAGUGGAAAAUGAAACAUGUCCAUGCUUGUACAGAAGAGGAAUUCUCAAAUGCUUUCUUCUGCUUCUCUCAUGCACUUGUUUCCUUUUUCCACUAUGGUCAACACAGAGUAGCUGUCUCAUAAGCGAGCACCUCAGUCAGCUGCAGAUGUUCACCUCUGAUAAUGCCUUUACAUUGCACACGUUUCCUGUCAGGACGUGCUGUCCUUCUCACCACAGUUAGAGUUGGUAGGACUGAUACUCUAGGUGGCUAAACAUUUGCUUUACAUCCUUCUCUGACCCCUCUGGUCUCUGAGGAUCAACUCUUGAAUACAUCCUUGCUACUACCCCUUCCAAUAUCUCCUUUCAGCUUUAGGAGUGCUCUGUCACAAGAAGUCUCUGCAAUUAUCUCCUGCAGUGUGGUUUCUGCAUCUAUCUCCUGCUUUGGAUCCCAAAGAGCUUCCCCUAUCUGAUCCACCUUUGCCAGGCGGACUGGUUGUCCUCCACUCCUGAGCCCUCUGGCUGUGGCUUGUCUCUUAGCGGAGGAUGCAACGUGCAAGACAGUGCUGCUGCCAAAAACCAGUGAAGGAAAACUACUACCUCUGGGAUGGCAAGGACUGCUCUGCAGGGGCUUGAAUGCAGUGCCGGACCUGACUGCCGCUGCCUUGCAAAGACCAGUGCCACCUCAGGAGGUAAGGGUCACGGUCGGUGCACGGUCCUCUGUGGAGAGGAAGAGAGAGAAAGAUGUUUGGUCUGAACUCAGUGUGUGCAGAGGCAGCAAAGGGGAGGGAGUGCCUGGGGAUCAGGUUGGAAGCGAGCCCCCAGGGACUGGGGGAGGUUUCAUCCAAGCACUAUAUGAAGACUCAGCCAUUGGCAGCAUCACCAACCUCAUGUGGGCUGCGCGGUGGAUGGACCUCAGGGACCUCAGACACAUCUAACAAGCAGGGAUAAUUACUACAGAUGGCAGCUGUGUUCCUGAAGUGCAUUCACUGGGGGAGGCCAACAUUGCUUCAGGUGAAGGAGAGAUUUGAAUGCUGAGGGAAAGAGAAGAACGAAUAAAAUGGCAGGCUGUGUUCCUACUCGUAAAGAUGCCAGAGGGUGUCCCUGGGCAAGGAGACUCAAGCCUCUGUGUCAUUCACUUAUCAAAAGAUACCUGCCCCCACUUCAGGCUAGGGCAAAUAUCACUUUCCAAACCAGUUUUUUGGUAUGGUUUUGGGGGUUAGGACCAAUCAAUGACCACUCCUAACAGGCAGUUUGUGAGCACCCAUUCUGGAAGGUGAAAUGGUUUAAUCAUGUGAAUAUGGGCUUCAGUGCCUGAGAAUGGUUUUAGUCACGCUUAAAUCACCAGCAAAGUUGUAGCAUUAGAUGUUUUUGGCACCUAACUUAGGGCGAGCAAAUCCUGGCCAAACUGCCUAAGAAACGGGAAAGCCUGGGCAUGAAGUUAUUGAACCAAUCUACUGCAUUCAGUGAUGACUUGUGUGGUUCCUACCUUGUAAUCACCCCAAGCCAGACCUGUACUUACCACCUUUGCCAUGCACUGCCACAGCUUUUUUUGUUGUUUUUCUGACCAGUUGUGCCAAAUUACAGCUGUGGCACUCUACAGCGGCCAACAGGUGCCGUGUAGCAAGGACCCGUAGCCUAGACGCACCACCAGAAGGCACAACCCAGGUCUGCAACCCACCGCUGGGACCUGCCCCUCUCAUGCCACCCAGCAGAGACCUGGUUGCAUCACCUAAAGUGCCAGAUGCGUCCCCCAUUGUGUCUCUCAGGGGAAGGACUGUCAGUGACACUGGAUGCAGGACAGUCUCCCUGGGCAAGAAGACCGGGGACAGUGUGGAGCUUGAAACGUUGGGAACAUUUGGCUGCACAGAGCUUUUUCAGGAGAUUCCGGCCUGAGCGAACAUGUAGUGAGCAAGGUCUUUGCCAAAAUCCCCUUGUAAAAGGGGGCCAGUCGAGGAUGCGCUGCCAGGUGUGGAAGUCCAAGUGGCUGUUGGAGCGUCUGGGUCAGAUUUUGCUGUGCUGAUGUCUGGAUGACAGGCAUUAUAAUAACGCAUCAGUUGCUUCAGUGUAAUUACCUGGGUUGCAAGCAUAGGCUCCAGUAAGCACAGACUCCAUAGCCUCAAGGUCAGGGAUGUUUGUGCUUCAGUUAAGCAGUUAAAUUAAAUUUAAAUUUUAGAAUAAUAAUAACAACAACAAGAAUAGUAUUUUAUUAUAUAUUUAUUAUAUGUAAUAUAUAAUAUUUAUAAUAUAAAUAAAUUUAAAUAAAAAUGUUAAAAAAAGACAACAGUUAAAUGCACGCAGAAGUUAAAAUGUAUGCCUAAGAUCCAUUGAAAUUGAAUUCACGCUUUAAAUGUUUUCUUGAUCCUGCUUAGUCCAGUCACUAUUUCUUUAUCACCUCAUGAAAUCAUUCUCUCCAGGCUAAGCUAGACUCACAGCCUUGUAAUUUAGGGACCAGACUUUACACCUGAAUGCCUAAAAAUAUCAAAAUAACUGUAAAAAAUUCAAGCUACACAACUUGAUUUUUCACCUCUGCUAUACACAGUGAAGGAACAGCAGAAAAAAACGAAAGAAAAAUUAUUAGGAGAGAUGUUUGCCCUCCAGCUGGACUAUGUUUUUGUAAAAGCAGUAAUUUGUGUCAAAGUGAUCUAAACAGAGAAAUCAGCAAAGGAAAUUAAAACUGUCAUUCUCUGACAUACAAUACCACAUGAAGAAUGCAGAACAGCUGUAAGCUAAAUAAGCCACCUAAUACUUAAUUCUUCAUGUUGUUCUUUUUGCAGACUUCACAAUAGUGUUCCAGCCUAUGGUACUUGUCUGGCAAUUAAACGGUUAGUGCUGGUAAAUGAUUUCUGGCACUUAAAAAUGUAUUUUUCAUAUUCUUUUGAAAAAGAAACAGGAUAAACUGUAACUGCUUUUGGAAAGUGCAUUGCUAAGUCUUCUGAGAAAGGAAAAUGCAAUUUCCAGGCCCCAGACCUAGAAAAGCAAAACGUGAAACAAACUCACUUGCAUGUUACGUGCAUGUUUUUGGAGAGCAAGUUUUCCUUAUUAUUCUUUCCACUUCAGCUAGACAUGUAAGUUAAUGCAUACCUUAAAAAUGAAAUUGAAGAAAAAAAAAAAAAAGAGACAACAUCCCUCCAACCAAUUCAAUCAAACCCUUUUCUCAUUUUGGCCUGUCUGCUUACAUAGUUUUAGAAAAGAAGAUCUUGGCAAGCGAAGAAGCUAAAGUUUUCCCAUUUUAAAGCACUUUAUCCUUCUUCCAUUUUCACUGUCAUUUCAGGCAAGUUUACUUAGACAAUACAAGAACUAUUUCCUGGACUUUCUUGGAGCUGCUAAAACACAUCCCUCUGCCCCUCACUCCACAAAAAAGAUCCACUUCAUGCCCUGCAUUGAACGGAUCUUACUGUGACAAACAUUUUCAGUACCUUCUCCUUUGGACUUGAAGAUGCAAAUAUCAUACAGGAGUCUCUGUGCAAGUCAGCUAAGGAAAUGCUUUCUUUACCACUGCUCCAAAAUGGAAAAAAAAUACCCUCCCCAUCCCUUAGGACAAAAUGGCAGUGCACGCGCAGGCUGCUGCACCAGCCCGGGUGCUGGGGCAUGUGCUGCUGCCAAAGGGGCUGACAGGGAAGGAUUCUGCCUAGAGAUAGGAAGAGCAAAAAGAUCCUCACCUCUUUUUUCACCCCCUACUUAAGCCUCUUCAGACAAACUCGCCACCUUUCUAUUCUAUUUCCCAGCCUCCUAAAGAAGGAAAUUCGAUUAGUGAAUCCCAUUUGUCCGCUUCUGUUCUGUACUGCAGGUGGUUUCACAGCAUCAGUCCAAUUGGGAGGAUACAAUAGCAGCGUUGUCACCCUCACACCAUGCCUUAAACAAGCAUCCCAGAGAGCAAGAGGCUAAAUGCAUAAUAAAUAUGUAUUUAUUCCUACAUUUGCUUUACUGAUUUUGAGCCUCUGGGGUGUAUUUAUAUGUUUUUCAAACUCCUAUCUAUCAAAAGACCCGACAUUGGUUUGUUAUUGUUGUCAUUAUUACUAUUACUACGACUACUAUAUGUAUAUAUAUACUACUACUACAUAGAAUAUAUGUAAAAGUCCAGUCCACCUGAAGGACUUUGAGGUUAUUAUGGCUCUAGUAACAGUAUCACCCAUACUGAAACUCUUAAUAAAGUACAGGUAGCUCAUGAGGCUCUAAAGUGAAUGAGACUGUAAAGAAAGGCUUGCCCUCAACGUGCUUGUAGUCAUUCUCCCUGAAGAUAAAUUGCCUGAAGAGGAAAUUACAAGGCAGCUAGAUUUGCUAUUUUAUUUCAAUAUAAAACGUGCAGGGAACACUACUGGCAUAGCAAAGUUAAACACCUUGUCAAGCAAGCAUAAGGACCUCAGGCCAUCCUCCAGCUGAGGAAACAUCUUUGCUGCCAUCAGGCUAGUAUUGCUGGGUUUGCUCCGUCAAAUCUCAAAUCUUUCUGUUCUCUUUCUGCCAUUCAUGCUACUUAAUGCACAGUAAAGAUUAAUGAAAGUCAUAUAACUUCCGAGAACUGAAAAUUCCUCAAGAAAAGUAUAAUUCUGCUUCCUGGUUGCAUUCAGUCUUCUGUUGUGUGAGGGAGUCUGAUGAUCCAUUCAAUAAUGUUCCUAGUGUGUUUGGUAAUUAGUAGAGAGAUUUUCAAAAGCAUGAAUAACAGCGAUAAGGCCUUCUCCCAUGCGUGUUACAACUGUUCUUGGUCAAAUUUCUGAAACCAGGGUGCUUUCUUUGCUCUUCUCUGGGCUUCUGCCCAGGCUGAUGUGGUCAUCCUGGCAGUAAGAGUCCUGGUCUUCUUAGGGCACUCUCCUUGGCACAACCUCAUAAGCCUCACAGAUGAGGAGGUGAGACACUUGCCCAAGAUUGUGGAUGAUCUGCCAUCAGAAGGAGACCAGGAGCUGACUGGGAGCCUAAACUCACCCGGGUUGGUCCUUUUUACACCUGAGCAUUAUGGCUUGCUGCUUUGCUGUUGUGCCCUUCUGCCUGUGUCCUUCUCCCACUAGUCCACAAACUCAUCCUCUGGGCGCUGCUACCCUGCUUAGGACAGACCUUGAAGGAUUGACCCUUACAUCGAAUUGUGAAAUUAAAGACUUGAGCUGUUUGGGGCAUCUGGUAUAACUUCAGCUCCUUGUCACCCUGUUACAGCUCAGAAGCAGAUGGUUUGUCAGUCUCUUUUCUUCUGGCCUGACACGUUUUUCAGAGUUUAUGAAUGGCCACUUGCAUCAGUGAGCCUGUGACGAUAUACUACACACACCAGCCUUGGGUGACAGAGAGGAACUACACAAGCAUGUGAAUUUCAAACUACUUAUCAAAGAAAAGUCUGUGUAGAGAUGUUCAAGGGUGGUUUUUUUAUGUCUCCUCGGUAUUUUCUUGCAGUUUGUUUUGAAGUUUUGGGGAGAAGUGCUGUACCUUUGGACCGAAGCAAAGGAAUGGCAACAGAAGUGAGUCUAGACUGGAGAACAGUCUGGACCAUGCCACUGAAGCUGCCAUAGGAAGAUCAGUGCCAAAAAGCACUCCACAGAAAGGAGAAUAAUGUCAUCUGUACUUCUCUUUCUGCUGUGCAGUCGAAAUCCACACAGGCUACACAAGACAACAUGAGGUAUUUUUAAGCGAUCACCUUGUUCUCAUAUGCUCAGAUUGCUAAAUGAAGGCCAGAGGGAAGGGUGACGGCAGCAGCCCAGAUCCCAGGUUUUCCUGACUCACUGCUGUGUCCCAGCCCUGUCCUUCAGCAGCUUCCAAGCAAGUAAUGUUUUCUGCUGAGUCACAGUAUUACAAAGCAUUUUCCCCUUGUGAUUAAUCCCUUCUUUAACCCAGGGAAGAAACAGCAAACCUGCUUCUGAUUUCUGCUCUCUCCUGCCCUGGGGAAAGUGCCCAGGUCAUGGAAAAUGUGAAUUAUCCUCUGUUUUUUACCACCACUCUUUCCUGCAUCCUGCUUACCACACAGCCUUACCUCUGGAGUAAGGGAACUGCCACAUCUGCCUUAGGAACCCUCCAGUUAUCCCGCUUGCUAUCCAUCUAAUUAACCAACUCCUCCAGAGGAUGGCUGUAAAUGCUUUUUAUGGGGAUUUUCUUCGGGGUGAACUGCUGUUGGGUCAAAGUGCUUGUAGUACUCCUGCUGCCUUUGCUGCUCUUACUGCAUGUUGCAACAGCUUGCACAGCCAGUUUCCAUGCACCGUCACAUGUUAAAUCACUCCUGACAUCAGCUUUCAAGAGCCUUCAGCCCAGCCCCACCAGAGCCGGGACAGGAAUCCAGGUCCUGAGCCCCAAUUUCUAACUCGAGUGUUAUGAAACACUUUAGACUCGUAACUUCUCUGGGCUGACCUCACUUCUCUGCAGAGCAAAACCACUGAUGAGCGCACCGACCUCCAGAGGCACCGAGCUAGAGGCACCUAUUUUCAGCAAUAGCGAGCAGUAAGUGCUGAAGCAGGUCAGAUUGAAAAGCAAACCAUGAGGCUCAAAUCCUGUGUUUAACAAACCAGGUGCCAAUAUGGGGCCGUGAUAUAUUUUUCCAUUCAUCAUGUGUUGCAGAGAUAAAAGUGUUGUGUUUUGAUUUUGGGGGGGCUAAGACUCUGUGGAAAGCCUUUCCAGUGGAGCUUGUGAGAUCACCCGUAAUAAGAUAACAUAACUAAUGCCAGAGGGCAUCGGCAUGUGUCAGGCACCCGAAGGCACCACAGCCUGGCCAAACAUUGCGGUCUGGAGGCUUGUGUUUGUGGAAGGUGUUGUCACUUGUGACACUGGAGGGAAAAGACAAAGUUACUUUCAGUUGGAGACGUGUGGUCUGGGCUUGAUUAAAAGCUGAAGAAAUGCAGAGUGGUACAAGUAGAAAAUCACAGUUACUGAAAAAUAAGCAUUCGUAUACAUGUUGGAGAGACGUCACAAUUUAGCCAUACUUGAAACAAAAUCCCUAAUUUCCUUUGUACAAAGCUGGUGUCACAACAGCCCUUUUGUCAUAUUUAUCUCAUCCCCCUGCUCUCCCCAGCCAGCCAGCCCUGACACAAAGAACAGCUGUCACAACACUGCUGCAAACAGGUUAGGAUGAAUGGACGUCUGGAUGUGAGCUGAAUCCACUCUGUCUGAGGUCUGGAGUGAAGUUUGCUGGUCAAGAAGGUGCGGGGAAUGUGAAUGCAAUUUGGCAAGAGCUGUUGUGAAAUUUCCAAAUAACAGAAAAAGAAACGGAUCUGUUUUUUUAAUUUAUUUUUUUUUCGGAUUAGACUGCCUUUGCCAAACAUUGGACGUCAGAGAACCAUAAAAUCAUAGAAUUGUUUAGGUUGGAAAAGACCUCUAAGAUAAUCAGGUCCAACCAUUAACCUAGCACUGCCAAGUCCACCACUAAACCAUGUCCCCAAGUGCCACAUCUACACCCCUUUUAAAUACCUCCAGGAAUGGUGACUCAACCACUUCCCUGAGCAGCCUGUUCCAGUGCUUGACAACCCUUUUGGCGGAGGAAUUUUUCCCAAUAUCCAAUCUAAAUCUCCCUGGUGCAACCUGAGGCCAUUGUCUCUUGUCCUAUCGCUUGUUACUUGGGAGAGGAGACUGACAGCCACCUCGCUACAACCUUCUUUCAAGUAGCUGUAGAGAGCAGUAAGGUCUCCCCUGAGCCUCCUUUUCUCCAGGCUGAACAGCCCCAGUUCCCCCAGCUGCUCCUCAGAAGGCUUGUGCUCCAGACCCUUCCCCAGCUUUGCUGCCUUUUUUCUAGACACGCUCCAGCACCUCAGCGUCCCUCUUGCAGUGAGGGGCCCAAACUGAACCCGGUAUUCGAGCUGUGGCCUCACCAGUGCCGAGUACAGGGGGACGAUCAGUCCCCUAGUCCUGCUGGCCACACAGUUUCAGAUCCAAGCCAGGCUGCUGUUGGCCUUCUUGGCCACCUGGGCACACUGCUGGCUCAUGUUCAGCUGGCUGUGGACCAACACCCCAGGUCCUUUCCCACCAGGCACUCUCAGCCACUCCUGCCCGAGCCUGUAGCUCUGUGGGGCUGGUGUGACCCAGGUGCAGGACCCGCGCUCAGCCUUGCUGAAGCUCACACAGUGGCCUCGGCCAUCGGCCCAGCCUGCCCAGCCCCCUCUGCAGAGCCUCCUGCCCUCAGCAGAUCAACUCUCCCGGCCAGCUUGGUGUCACCUGCAAACUGACUGAGGGUGCACUCGAUCCCCUCAUCCAGAUCGUUGAUAAAGACAUUAAACAGGCCUGGCCCCAGCACGCAGCCGCUUGUGACCGGCCACCAAUAACUUCAAGAGGUAAUAAUUUCAAAGCAAUGAACUAGGUCGAGAUGUCAUCGGAAGAGGUAUGUGGAAUGAACAGAAGUUCCCUGGGCAGCCUGACAUUGCAACAAGAUGUGCUGCCACUGCAGGGACUCACGGAGCAUUGCUCAGGGUGCUGCUGCUGCUUUCACAUCCUGUUAUGUUUCAGGAAACUUCACUUUAGUCUCUCUGAAAGUGAAUGAAGUGGUUUCAUUCUCAUUACAUUGCAGAUGUCCACAUUUUAUUUCGUUUCAGAGGAAAAAGGGAAGGUGAAGGGCCAUUCCUUGACCAGAAACCAGAUGUACCUCUUGAGAAUGAAACAGAGAAGGCACAAGCCUUGCAGCUGGCUGAAAUGCUGAAGGCAUUUUUUUCUGGGGAAACCAGUGAAGGCAAAAAAGGGAAUGUUAUCCCUUCCUCUCUCUUCUCAGUUCCUUAAGUUCUAUGAUCUGAUUGUUCACAGGCAGAAGAUGAUUUGCUGAAUAACUGACCCAAAGGUGUUUGGUGCCUCUUGAGAGCCAUGGCUAGUCAGUGUAACAGCAAGCCUGCUACAGGGAAAAUGCAAGAGACCAUGGUGGUGACUUCUCCCAGAGCGAGGGCAAGAGCUGUUGUUCAAAGCUCUCCAGGACUGUGCAGCGGCCUGUCCCACUUCCCUUUUCUGCGAAGGAGAGCGUGAUGCACCAGGGUGCUGCCUGCGUGAGACGGAACUGCAGCGCCUGGCUGACUCUGCGGCUGCUGCCAGUGGCGAUACUACAGUAAUUAAUCAAACCGGCAGUCCCUAACAGGUUAACUACAGUCAUUCCCUUCAUUGUACACACGGGGGAUUCAAAAUGCAAAAGCUGUCUUGUCUGAAGAAACCUAGUAAAUUAGUGUCAAAGCCCACAUGAAACUUCUUGAGGCCAAAUACCCACGUUAGCAGUUAUGUACUUCUUCAAAAGUACUUAACUAUUGUUUUGCAUGCACGUGUCUUUACUGAUAAUUCAAGCCAUGUGACAGUUUGAAUUUAUAUGUCUAAAGUUAGAAUUGAAGUUAAGAAAAACCUCAAGCCUGGAGGUUAAUCAUGAAAUGCAAUGAACCUGAACCCAUGGGUAAUUCGCUCUCUGUUUUUCUAGACAUGAUAUUUCAACGAUCAGGGUUUCUUAAAGAAGUAACCGUACUUAGGAUGUUUCAUCUGCUGAACGGGAAUUAUCAUUCAAAUUAACAUUCAAAAAUCUGCAGAUUAUGCCCUGGUUGCAUAGGCUAAGGGAGAUCUCAGCCAGCUCUAAUCAGAAAAGCAGCAGAGCACAUUGAAAUUACAUAGCAGGUUUUUCUCAGCCUCACCCAGAGCGGGACUCAUUAUACUUGGACUUUUUACAAAAACACUUAAAAAAAUAUUCACAGCGCUCUAUUAUAAUUGACCAACAGGUGUUUGGAGUUUAAACACAUAUUCAUUAGGACUGUGAUAGGCAUUUUUUCAUAGCACUAAAUGCUAUGCUCCAGUCUUCCAGCUUCAGGGUUUGUUAUGAGCCACACUUGCUCCCUACAGCUUUUAAAAGAUGCUGAACUUUGUGAAUUUUCUCUGUUAACAUAGACUGUAUCUCAAACAAGUUCAUUUUAAAGAAGUUUCCAGGUCUUGCAGGCUAGAACAGAAGUGGAAAUGUCACUCUCUGAAAGACGUUAUAGGAGUUACAGUUGGAAGAUAUUUAGUCUAUAUUGCAUCUUGCAGGUACCAUCACAUUCCUCUGUACAGUUGUGUAUUCAGACGCCUGUCAGUGCAAGUCUAAUCUUUCUUUAUUUUUUUUAAUGAUUAUUUUGCAGUAAUGUAACAGAGUCAGAGACACCAGCCAAAACUGGACAAGAUGCUACAAGUGUUUUGGAUGUGUUUGGAAGAAUGUGGAACAUGGCUGUUUCCUAUGAGUGUAGCUGAUUGCUUCAUCCCAGUAUCACUUCUUCCAGCCUCACUCUUAUCUCCUUACCAUGUAUCACACUAUGUAACCACAGACUUCCAGACUGGUUUUGGGGCUUUGGCCCUUUCAGUGAGGAAAGUUGUUCUAUUUCUUCAUCUUAUCUCUACAGCUGUCAUCUUUCCUAAUUUCCCUGUACAUCCAGGAGUGCCUCGUAUCAGCACUGGCUGGCCUCAGGUCACACCGCGGGUCUUUGCUGCUGAAAUGUUAACAUUUCUGUCCUUAUGGGUAACUCUUACUGAGAAAAUCUGGCUGCUCCUUCAUGGCCAACAGCAAGGGUUAAUUGAAAAAGAAGUUCAAUAAAGCGUAUUGUGGGGUGAGAGGGCUGGGAAGAUGCUGGUUCCCCAGCACUGGGCAGCGGUGUGAAACUCCCCCAGUUCUCAUGUCAGCUCGGUGACACUGGCCAGGGUUUUGACAGCUCUGCAUACCCCAGCAGCAGAAAUUUCUGAGCGAAACUGGCCUGGCUUGCUGCCAUCUCUUUGGCUGUUGAUGCUGUUGCUGGAUUUCCUUGGAGUCAGUGAGAUCACAGCCUCUAAACGCUGCAGCUUCCCAGCAGUAUGCAGGAGGAAAAGACCCGGUCACAAAGUCUUUUAUAAUGUUUAACUUAAUAUCUAUUGAAAUGGAAAACAAAUUACACACACCAACAUUCCCUCUGAAAUAGGAUGACCUUUCCCUGCCUGCAGUGGUCUGAAAGCUGGGUACUUGUCACAUCUCCCUGCAUGACUGCUGUGGUUUUUUUCAGUAGUGAUGGGGACUGUGUCUCAGUGUCUUAAGAGUAUCCUGUAUACACAGCCUGGGUACGGCUCUUGCUUUUUACCUGUUCUGACUUGGAAAUAAAACUGUGGUGCAGAAUUCAAUGCACAGGAAAUGGUAACUGUCCUACAGGGAUCUAGGUUUUGGAUUGGAUUAAUUACAGCAAAGAACACAACUCUGGCAAUCUAGACUUCAAUUUUGAAAACCUCAUGGUGUCUCUUCCAGUUAAUCCCACCCCUCAGAAAUCUGCUUUUCAAUAGCUUUCUAAAUUUUGGAGUUACCGUCUUAGGAAAGGCUUUCUCACUCCCCUGUUUUCAAAAACCAGUGACUUAGCAGAAGUGUUACGUUACUGGGUCACUGGACCAUCCCUCAACAAGCAAAUCUUUCCACUUUCUGAAUGUGUUAUUGUGUUUCUCUAAAAUAAAUUAUACUCGCGUAUUUCUACUCAGUGGAGUGGACAUCAAGAUAGUUGGCCAGUUUUGGCACACAGAAAGCAGGUAGGAGUUUCUGUGAGCAGAUAGGAAGUGAGUAAAUUGCUCCAUCAGAGUUGUCGUGGAGCAAAUCAUGCACCAAGGCAGCAUGGGGCUGGCAAGGCUCCCACACAUUCCUACUGUCCUCAUCCCAUGUAAGUCUCAGUUACACAGACAAGAAAAUGCUCCCUAAUAAUGUUUGGUGGUUACCUUAGUCCCUUUCCAUGUGCACUGUCUUUUUUCCAACCUUUUUCUUGUCUAGCAGAAUCAAACUGCAGCAAAUAAUCUCUCUUCGAUUGCCAAAGGUUUACUGGGGCAGUGGAAAGAUGUGUGUGUGAAUGUGUUUGUCAUUUUUGGCUGGCUCAUCAUAAUAUUUUGGCUUCUAAUCAGGCUGAAUAAUACAGUUGUAUUCUGACUCUUUAUUUUUAUUCUCUCUUUUAUUAUCCUGAACAUUGAUGUAACUGUGCCGUAACAUUGUACGUUUAGCUACCUGUUGUUCUGCUGUGAUUCAUGUGCUAACGAGUGUUCUGCUCAGACCACGAUGGCUGUAUCAGUCUGUGAAGUCAGCCUAAGGAACAGCUUAAUGCUCUUCUAAAAGAUCUGCAUGUUCUAUCUGUUAGCAGCCUGACUCACCCAUUUCUUUGGCACACACACCCCCUCCCCCACCCCCCUCCAAUUCCAUGGCUUUCAAAAAACGUACACUUGAAAAAUGUCUCCUCUCUUUAGAAAGAGGAAAAGCAGUGAUAUUGUUGCCAAACUAUCCCAUUACUGAGAUAAAGUAGUACAAGGAUCAUUCUUGGGCUGACUGUAAUAAAAAUAAUGACAAUAGAAUAAAUCAUAUUUGCAACAUGGAAUACCGUAUUAGUCAUCUACAAGCGUGCUGCGUGUGCUGCCUGUUCUGGAAGGGGAGUUCAGCGCUUUUUGCAGGGAAAUGAGAGGGCUGAGAACGUUACAUGUUCACGCUCAAACCUGUGGGCAGGCCAGGAGAGGACCAGACUGACCCUCUUUGACCUCUACUUAGCAUGGGUAAAAAGUUCCCAGUUCUUUGCCUUCAAGGCCCUGGAGAUGGAGGUUACUGGAAACUGAAAGCAGUAAUAAAAGGAUUCCACCAGAACCCCAUAUUGGUGAUUUUUGCAGUAAAUGUAGUGACUGAGGUCCCUGCAUUUUGAAGUAGCUCUCUUGAGCAUCUUCUGGCAGUAUAGUCAUGGUAGCAUGAGGCUCGGGAGAAAGUGCAAAACUUCCCUAGAAAGCUGGGGAGUUAAUUGAGUACUUCUCCUGAACACAGUAUUUCCACAAUUAGUUUAAAGGCUUAGGUAUAGCAGGAUAUAGCUAUCUAAAAUAUCAUCCUUACCUCUUUGGAGUUAAGGUCUGACGCUUGCCCUAUAUCUUAUGUUAAAAAAAGGUUGCUAGAACAGAAUGGCAGCACUGUAUGUGGUCUUUCCUUUGGGCAGGGAAUAGAGAAGCACAUGUCAACAUCCCCUUUGUGGGAAUUCACAGACAAUCUCUGGUACUAACAGUAUUUUGUAUGGAUAUUCAUGGCCAAAAUAAAGGGAUAUGAAAUGCACUGAAGACUGAACCAUCUGUGGAAGGCUGCCAUGCAGAAGGGCUACCAAGACCAGCAGCCAUCUUCACGGAUGGCCUCCACAGCUUUAAUUUAUUGCUCUGCCACAGAGCUGGUCCUUGCAAGCAGUUCAGUUUUUCUCCCCACCAAAUGUGUGUGUUUCCUCCAGAAUGUAUGGUUCAUCCAACACCUCCUGGGAAGGCAGGGGAGCUCUCCGGAGGAGCCACCUGGUAAGUCCCUUGCCUGCUCUCCGGGAACUCUGCAAUGCCUCUGCCCCAAAAGAAGGGCACGGGGAGCCAGUGGAGGUGGCUCUGAUGGGACUGGGCAAGGGGAAGGCUGUAGAGAAGGCAGUAGAUGAAGGGCAUGGGGUUACAGCCCCAGUUUGGGGAAAUGGUAAAGCGCCUGCAAGGUGGCGAGUUUCCUACCUGUACCGGAAUUGAACUAGGUAGCUUUUUAGGACCGUCUGGAGUACAAGCAAUGUAAAAUGAUCUCUGAUACAAUGUGAAAACAACUAUCCCCAAAUGAGUUACUUGGUUUGAAAAAUUACUUAUUUUUUGGCAGUGGAAAAUUGCUUGGAGGAAAACUUUUUUUAAAAAACCCAUUUAUCAGUCUUUCAGAAUAUUUCACAUUUCUCGGGAAUGGCGUGGGUGUUUUGGAUCAACAGAGUAGGGUUUUAAAAAUAGCGACAUGGACUCCUACUACCUUUCUAACAGCUAAUCAGUAGUUUUAUGCCAGAGCGAUUUCGCUUUAUCAAACUUAUAUGAGGUCUUCUGUGGCUUCUCAGUUGUAACUGCCUAGGAAGUCCCAAGAAUAAAGAAAAUUUCCUGAGUCUAAUUUAAAUAGCAGAACUUACUGAUGGCCAAAAAGGUUGACAUAUUUUUCUUGCCUUAAGAUAUUUAUGAGUUAUUUUUAUAUUUACCUUGCACAACAUUGCUACAAAACCUGCCUAACAAUUUUUAGGAAAAAAUAUUUGUUCUAUAAAUGUGCUUUAAACGGCUUGUGAAUUCUCUGGCUGCUAAUUUUGAUGAGCAGGGUGCACACAUCUGGCAUGUAGUCUUUGUGCAAAGUCCUGCUUUGUAGUUCAGCAUUACCUUCAGUGUUUAGUAGACCUCUUAUUCUUCCUUCUGCUCCAGCACCCACACAAAUCUUACGGUAACUCUCGAAUAACAAGCCCUGGCUAUAUUAAGGAGGUGAGAUACCAUAUAUAGGAAAUGCGACCUCGAGUUUAUGUUUCGAAAAAGUUGUUGUGUGCUUGUUAGGGUUUGCAUAUUAACAGACAGUUUAGGUAUAUUGUAAUGAUCUUGAGUUUAAUCCCUAAAAGUCUUACUAGCUGUGCUCUGACUGUAUUCAAGAAAUGAUUUUGGAAGCAACAGACAGAGGAGAAGGGGUGAAUUCAGCUGUUAUUUGAGAAAGUGUAGUAGUUGGUUAAUCUGGGAAGUUAUGCAGAGAUCGGUUUAAAAUAGGCAUGACGGCUGUGAAUUGUAGUGUGUUACCUACGUUCUUACAUUAGGACAAGCGUUAUUGGGCUUGUUCAUCAAAUGGUAAAAUUAAUAGCUUGCGCAAUACGUGCAAUUUGUUCCUUUUAAAUUCCCUCCCUUCAAGUCUCAAUGAUAGUGUGUUCCAGUAAAUCAACAGCAGAGAUUUUUUUUCCUUCCUGGUAUUUGUCUGAAGCUUCAAAUAUUGUUAUUUUAGCCCUUACAAACUGAAACCAACCAAUAGUAGUUUGACACAUCUCUCCUUUCGAAGUUGGCAGACAACACUGUGAAAUCCCACAUACGUAUCUCUGCCAAGUGGAGAAGGAAAGCAGAAUGAGGGAAGGAGCUCCAUCGCUAUACUGUACAGCCGGCUGGCGAGAGAUAAUUCAUAUAUGUGAGGUAUUAGAAGGCUGUGGUAGAAAUCCUGUUGCAGUCAGCACCACUCCACCAUUCCUGGAGUAGAAAAUUUCAGGAAAGACAUGGAUGGCGAUAGAUGAGAGGGGCAUUGUCUGUUGAAAAAGAGUGGAAGUGCCGAACAGCUGUCUCCUCCCCUAAGCAGCACUCAUCCUGGACUUUGCAUGAGGUGAGAAUCCCCUGAAGAAAAUAGCUCAUGUUCCUGGAACUAAAGGCGAUCUCACAAUAUAUAAACCCAGCAGGAGCCAGUGUGACCAGGCCUGUUAAUGUGCUGCUAAGCAAUUUCCUUCUAAACCUUCUAACAUUUUUAAGUGGGAUGUGAUAUUCAUCACAGAGUAGUCAUGGACUUGAAGUGGACAAACCUUUAUAGCACCUCUACAAAAUACUUUUUAAAGGGUACAUAUGCAUGUAAUUUCACUUGAAGAAUCAAAGUCCCUUUAUAAGUAAAGAAAAUGCUUUAAAAACUGCUGGAAGCUUUUUUCUUUUUUUUUCCUUUUUUUUUUUUUUUUAAAUAAACACCAUAGUGAUGUUGGUUUCCAUGUCCUUUCUAAUGAAUAUGGGAAAACUGAUAUUUCUGUUCAAAUACAUCCUCUUUUUUUUCUCAUUUCCUACCUUUUUUACCUUCAUUAAGUCUAUGGAGCAGGUUGGCUGAGGUUUUCCCUGUCUGGUGGAGAAUGUCUUGGAUGUCUCUGAGACCAGGCUUUGCAAGGUCUCAUGCUGAAGAGGCAGAGAUGUUGAUUCACUGGCCCAGACCUUUCUGCUCUUCUUCAAGACCAAAAGUUAAGCAGCUCGUGAAGCUGGAAAGUUGGUAAACUGAAAAUUGUAAAAGGAGAAACAGUCUAGCUAAAGAAGUCAGUUGCUCAACUUACACUUUGCAGUGUCAGUGUUUAGUUCCCUAGUUACCUUAUCAUCAUUGCGGAUUUUCCUAGAGCAACAGGCCCUAAAAUUCUACUUUGGUGACUCUUUUCUUUCAAAAAUAAAACUAAAAUUUUGGAGAGCAAGUUAUUAAGAAAUUAAUAUGUAUACUGUUGUUGUCUUACUAUGUUACAUAUAAUUGAAAAAUCUCCUUAGCAAAAUCAGUUUAUUUUUUAAGCUCUUUUCAUGAUUUUAGCUAGUUUUUGUUAUCAAUGACAAUGCAGCAUAGGCAUUUAACUGUUAACAUUAUCUUUAAAAGAAAUAUCACUGUACUUCAUUAAUGGGAUGAAGGCAGAUCCCAUAGUCUUUGCACGGAUGACACUGGGGUAGUCUGCCUAAUAGCACGGGACUGAAGGGGCACCUCCAGCUCAUUUAUGUGCUCUUUAAAGCUGCUCCCAUUAAAAGUCAGUGUCAUGGCAAACUGAGAAAAAUAAACAAUAAAACAUAGUUAUUAUUUCUACUGCUCUUCCCUUAAAUAUAUGACAUCAAAGUAAGGGGAAGUAGGAAGUGUCCCACAUUAGUCAAUCUUGUAGCUCAACAAAAGCUUUAACCUAUUGCAAUAGGAAAUCUGCAGACUUCCUUUAACCACAAUGUAACUUGCUAAAUGCUUGUGCUCUUACGACAUACAAAUGAAUGGUCUUGCAAAAGGUAUUGCAUCUUUCAUCCUGAAAGAUGGAUAUCCUGUUUCACUUGAGACAAGGGAAAACAUGCUUAUAUAAGAAAAUGAAAGCAAACUGUGUGGUAAUGAACUCUGCAACUAGUUCAAGAAAGCAAUAGUGAAAUAAAACCGCAAGUUAGCAGAAGAAAAAAGUUCUGUGCCUGGUGUUUUGUUUUUCUAAGUCUCUUAAAAGAUCUUAUUCUUUAAAGAUUUUUAAAAAUGCACAGUGUCUUGUCACAUACCUAAUUGCUGAUCAGUUAUACUGAUUUGACAGACUGCACUAGCUAUCUCUAAGACUCUCCUACUCAAAAUCGGAUUUCUUUUCAAGAAAUUUUGCUGUCCUAAACUUUAUUGCUUUUGAAUUAUCCGAAACAUUUGAUCACAAAACACAGUGCUUUUUCCUCUAUUUUGAACAAUGGCAUGAUCCAUUGAAAUAAGUUUUCUAGACUGAGGAAAAUAUGACUUUUCCAGUUGCCCUUCUGAGACGUGAUUCUGGUGGAUCAGCCUUUGUUAGGUGAACAGUCUUUGCCUGCAUCAGUGUAAAAAUGAUAGCCAGUGUGUGGCUGUGAAGCAUGUGCAUAUAACAUAACAACAAUAUAUUGUAUAUUAUUAUAAAUUACAUGUUAUAGUUUAUAUGUAUUUUUACAAACAAUUUCCCCUUCCUACUGUAACCACAUAUCCUGUAAUUGCAAGGAUGACUUCAGGGAAUGACAUGAAUGGCAUUUUUAUGAAACUUUUCAUGGAAUUAUGAAAUUGCUACUGCAAUAAUUUUAAUUUGGGGAUUUCCCUAAACACCAGAGAACAACAACAGCCUACAUCAGAUCUCAGAAAAACCCAUCAAAGAAGUUGCAUACAGUUGUAGAGGAAGGAAUAGUGCAGCGCAACAAGUAUGACUUCAAUGGCACUUUCAUCAUCACAAUUUCAUUUUUUCCACGAAUCACUACAAAAAACCCAAAGGGCCUCUUUUUAACCAUACUACUUUUAAACAUUCAUGGAGUUGAAGCAGCUGAUCACUCCAGACAGUGGCAAGAGAAGGGCCUGCUUGUAACGUGUGUUGUGGCUUUGGUGAGGGGCACAGAUGGAUCACGCAGCACACCAACCCUUGCUGUCUAGAAGAUCUCUCCAGGAACAGUGGUGUCUGGCCACUGUCAACCAGGCUACAGAGGCAUCUAGGUUUUGUUGGAGCUGGUGCCAGCACAGAGCCUGUCCCCAGAUCACAGCAGGAACCAAAGGGAGUGCCUGUUUGCCAUGGUCUCGCAGUAUUAAGGACAUGCAUAAUUUUCAGAAGGAUCCAUGGGUACAGACUUUGUGAGGAAUCACUGAAUAACAGAACGGUUGGGGUUGGAAGGGACCUCUGGAGAUCAUCUCGUCCAAGCCCCUGCUAAAGCAGGCUCACCCAGAGCAGGUUGCACAGAAUUGCAUCCAGGUGGGUUUUGAAUUAUCUCCAGAGAAAGGGACUCCUCAGCUGGGCAGCCUGUUCCAGUGCUCUGUAACCCUCAAAGUAAAAAAGUGUUUCUUCAUACUCAGAUGGAACUUCUCGUGUUGCCGUUUUUGCCCGUUGCCCCUUGUCCUGUCGCUGGGGACUGCUGAAAAGAGCCUGGUCCCAUCCUCUUGACACUCACCCUUAAGUUAAUUGAUUACAUUGAUGAGAUCCCCCCUCAGCCUUCUCCUCUCCAGCUACACAGCCCCAGCUCUGCCAGCCUCUCCUCACCAGGGAGGUGCUCCAGGCCCCUCACCAGCUCCGCAGCCCCCGCUGGGCCCUCCCCAGCAGCUCCCCGUCUCCCGUGACUGGGGAGCCCAGCGCUGGGCCCAGCACUCCCGAUGGGCCUCACCAGCCCGAGCAGAGGGGCAGGAUCAGCUCCCUGCACCCGCUGGCCACGCUGCCCCUAACGCGCCCCAGGCUCCCACCCGCCUUCUCGGCCACAGGGCCACCGCUGGCCCGCGGGCAACCGGCUGUCCCCCAGCACCGCCCGGCCCUUCCCCGCAGAGCUGCCCCCCAGCAGCCCACCCCCAGCCUGUGCCGGUGCAGGGGCUGUCCCUCCCCAGGGCAGGAC